rnacentral:tRNA from 1 species
GCCAGGUUAGUAUGAUAAAAAGUACGCCGAAUUUAGGUUUCGGAAGAAAAUAAAAUUUACUUGGUU